GAGUAGUAUAAGUUAAGAUCUUGAAACUCAAAAAAUUUGGCGGUAUUUUAUCUUUUUAGAGGAACCUGUUUAUUAAUUGAUAUUCCACAAUUUUAAUUUACUUUUAUUAAAUUAUUUGUAUACCGUUGUCAUGAAUCUACUAAAAAGUAAUUUUCAAGAUUUUUUAUAUAAUUUAUGUUAGAUCAAGGUGCAGUUUGUGAAAGAAAAUAAUGGGUUACAUUGAUUAUUAUGAAUGAAAAUUAUUAUUGAAUAAUAAUAGAAAAAGGAUUUAAAAGUAAAGGAAAGUUAUUAAAAUUUUUUAUGAAUUUAGAUACUGAAAUA
rnacentral:rRNA from 1 species